GAUGAACGCUGGCGGCGUGCCUAAUACAUGCCAGUCGAGCGAACAGACGAGGAGCUUGCUCCUCUGACGUUAGCGGCGGACGGGUGAGUAACACGUGGAUAACCUACCUAUAAGACUGGGAUAACUUCGGGAAACCGGAGCUAAUACCGGAGAAUAUAUUGAACCGCAUGGUUCAAUAGUGAAAGACGGUUUUGCUGUCACUUAUAGAUGGAUCCGCGCCGCAUUAGCUAGUUGGUAAGGUAACGGCUUACCAAGGCAACGAUGCGUAGCCGACCUGAGAGGGUGAUCGGCCACACUGGAACUGAGACACGGUCCAGACUCCUACGGGAGGCAGCAGUAGGGAAUCUUCCGCAAUGGGCGAAAGCCUGACGGAGCAACGCCGCGUGAGUGAUGAAGGUCUUCGGAUCGUAAAACUCUGUUAUUAGGGAAGAACAAAUGUGUAAGUAACUAUGCACGUCUUGACGGUACCUAAUCAGAAAGCCACGGCUAACUACGUG
rnacentral:rRNA from 1 species